UCUGAAGGAUCUCGACUGUCUGAACUUUGAAGGGAUGGUUGGGGGAGAAUUGAAAUUGGAAGUAUGAAGAGCCCCUGAACAUCAAAGGCAAUCUCUUGCAAUCUCCAAGACAUGGUUUGGUCGAAAACCUCGAGGAGCUAUUCUAAAGAUGAGUGAUCGAUGAUUCCUCGUCUCAAAAGUCCUUGGCGCCAAGGACCUAGCAACGAAGAAGGUGAUUCGUCUGGGUGAGGAACGUGACGGACUGUAUUUUUACAAGAACCCAAGAAUAAAGCAUUUCUGCCAUCAAGUGUCCUCGGUCCACCUUUGGCACAACUGACUCGGACAUCCAUCCAACCAGCGUUUAAAAAAUUUGUCCAACGAACUUUCUAUUUCUUUCUCUAAAAAUAAUUGUUGUCCUUGUGCAAUUUGUCAUGUUGCAAAGAAAACUAGAGUACCUUUUCCUCUUAGCAUUGAUAGAACUACUAUUCAUUUUGAACU